CGGCGUGCCUAACACAUGCAAGUCGUACGAGAAAGCCGGCUUCGGCUGGUGAGUAAAGUGGCGCACGGGUGAGUAACGCGUGGAUAAUCUGCCCUUAAGUGUGGAAUAACGUACCGAAAGGUGCGCUAAUACCGCAUAAUGCCUGGCAACACAAGUUGUCCGGCCAAAGAAGGCCUCUGUUUACAAGCUUUCGCUUCAGGAUGAGUCCGCGUACCAUUAGCUUGUUGGUGGGGUAAUGGCCUACCAAGGCUGCGAUGGUUAGCUGGUCUGAGAGGAUGAUCAGCCACACUGGAACUGAGACACGGUCCAGACUCCUACGGGAGGCAGCAGUGAGGAAUAUUGCGCAAUGGGGGGCAACCCUGACGCAGCAACGCCGCGUGAGUGAGGAAGGUUUUCGGACUGUAAAGCUCUGUCGAGCGGGAAGAAGUGUACCAUGGCUAAUAUCCAUGAUAUUUGACGGUACCGCUAGAGGAAGCACCGGCUAACUCCGUG
rnacentral:rRNA from 1 species